GGUAUGAUGGCUGAGUGGUUAAGGCUUCAAUCACAAAUCAGAAGGUUUUGUGUUCAAAUCCCAGUACCACCA